CCUACGGGAGGCAGCAGUGGGGAAUCUUGCGCAAUGGGAGCAAUCCUGACGCAGCAACGCCGCGUGGGUGAUGAAGGUCUUCGGAUCGUAAAGCCCUGUCGGAGGGGAAGAUGCUUGGCAUGGCUAACAUCCAUGUCAGGUGACGGUACCCUCAAAGGAAGCACCGGCUAACUCUGUGCCAGCAGCCGCGGUAAUACAGAGGGUGCAAGCGUUGUUCGGAAUUAUUGGGCGUAAAGGGAGUGUAGGCGGCUAGGAAAGUCUUCUGUGAAAUCUACGGGCUCAGCCUGUAACGUGCAGAGGAAACUAUCUGGCUAGAGUGUCGGAGAGGAUAGGGGAAUACCCGGUGUAGAGGUGAAAUUCGUAGAGAUCGGGUGGAACACCAGUGGCGAAGGCGCCUGUCUGGCUGACAACUGACGCUGAGACUCGAAAGCAUGGGGAGCAAACAGGAUUAGAUACCCUGGUAGUCC
rnacentral:rRNA from 1 species